UUCUCAAAUUUUGCGGGAAAUUUUCUCACUUUGAUUAAUUACAAUUUACGAUGCCGAGGAGAAGACGGCCUGACUUAGGUCGUCGUAGUCAAUUAAAUGUGCGAAGAGCUACCUCAAGUGCUAACCGCACAGAUCAAGAAAAUAGUCGUAUUGCUAUGUCAGAAUUGCGUUCUUUAGUGAGUGGCAAUGUAGGAGAUAGGCUUAGAAUGCAACGAGUUCGUGCACAUUAAACACAUCAACAGCAAGCUAGACAUAAUGAAACUAAGCGAAUCCGCAGACGCAGUGCUCCUGUGAUUCUUGAACGAGCUGCAUUCCACUAUGAUCCGGCAAUUGAUUAUUGUGCCGACAAAUCAGUAAAAAUUGGGGAUAUGAAAACAAUUUGUAAAUAUUGUAAGGCGUUAAAGUACACUGGUAAAUCUACUGGAUUAUGUUGCGCUGAAGGCAAAGUAAAAUUGCCACAAUUGGUCUCACCACCAGAUCCUUUACGCUCCUUAUUUUCUGGGAUUGGAAAUGAUUCGAAGCACUUCUUGACCAACAUUCAGAAAUAUAACAACUGUGUUCAGAUGCCAUCAUUUGGUGCUACACAUAUUAUACAAGCCAAUUUCAUGCCCACUUUUAAGAUACAAGGACAAUUUUAUCACUUACUGGGAACUCUGAUACCACUACCUGAUGCAGAUCAUCAAUUUUUACAAAUUUAUUUUAUGGGCAAUUCAGAUGCGGAAAUUAAUAUUCGUUGUGCUCACAAACCAACAGUAAAGAGAACCAUUGUCCAACAAUUACAAAUGUUUCUUCAUCAGAAUAAAAAUUUAGUAAACAUGAUCAAAAUAGCAUUGGAUCGGAUGCCAUCUGAUAGCCAUAAUACUGGAAGACUGGCUGUGAAAAGACUGAUGAAUAACGUCAUUGAGACAACAAUCAUAAAAGGAAAAUACAAAGGAGAGGAUGUCUUGAUCCCGCGGAUACCAAUGAUUCCAACGGACACACCAUUCGAUUUUAAACGCUUACAAUUUCCAGUACGUCUGGAUUUUGCGAUGACUAUAAAUAAAUCGGAAGGACAAUCGUUAGAAGUUUGUGAAAUCAACUUGGAGUUUCCCUAUUUCGCGCAUGGACAAUUAGACGUCGCGUGUUCGGGCGUCGGAAAACCGUCUUCUUUGUUUAUUUACGCACCACAAAAUAAAACAAAAAAUAUAGUUUA